UCUGCUUCUUGCUCUUAAAAUGCAAAAAGACAAGGAACGAAAUCUAUGAUUGGUCCAACCAAGAAUGGCAUGGGACUUGUUAGGCAUUAGGGGCGACCCAUCGGCCCCUUUUGAUAGGCUUCUUUGUCCAUCUCUUCUCUAUAUGAUAUUUAUUCAAGACUAAAUGGGACCAGAUCUAUUACUCAGACAAAAGCAACACAACCCUAAAUGUGAUCUCCCACGCUUGGCAAUGAUACCAUUAAUAGUAAGGAGUGAGUAUGUGGCAAAUACCCAAACUUGUGCUUGACUAAGCCUCACCUACAUGGAAGAUAACUUGUUCUCGCACUUGGGUUUCGACCAAGUCAUCUCUCACAGUAACAGUGAUGAGCUGUUGAGCGAAAGUUGUUCAUAGCUAAGAAUCGCUAAGGCUAGUCACUCCCGGGUCUAUCCUAUAUAUCUUUCGAUUCUAGCUGGGGGUAUUCUCUCUAUUCAAGUUGUGCAGUUCCCACUAGACUCAAGGGAUGAGGCUAAGCGAGUUGUAAAACCUAUCACUAGCGAUAUACAUAAUGAGGCGUUUAAUCAAAGGCUUUUUCGCCAAAUAGCUUAUAUAAUACGAUAGGGCGGUAUUUUUGUUAUGGAAAGUAUCUCUAUUUCCUUGGAUAUCUUCAUCUAGUAUUUUUACCCUUACUGACAGUAUGAAAGAAGGUAGCUCACCACCAAGUCUAGGUACCCCAUCAUGUGUCAUAAUAGGGGAUUAAUGCUCAUUUACAUAAAAAUGAGUUAAACCUGCAGUGAAGUCUACUAUAAUUCCUAUUUUUAUCCCUUCAUACCAAAAUCGAAUUUCAAACAUAAAAAUAACACUAAAAAUACUAGUUUUUCAAUUUCUCAGCUUCCGGCUUAUAAGUUGGAAGUUAAAUUGUAAGUUCUUUACACAAGCGGGACAAAUAAGCUGCUUCUGACUUAUAAGCCUAGAAGCAUGGCUUUUAAGCCCAACAAAAGACACCCAUUGACUUACGCUUAUUAAGGCAUUCAGCUUUACUUAUCUAAAUGACUUGAGAUGUUAUUAAAACAUCACUUUAUCAGGUCUUUGUCCUCGUUGAGCUCGCAAACCGGGCAGUGGACUGAUACCAUUUAUAACGAUCCAAGCCCACAACCCAUGCAUUAUCGAACCCAGCACAAAGUUGAGAAUUUCGUGUACGUUUAGACCUGGCAGAAUAUGGUUUUGGACCGAUUUUAGUUGAUUAAUAUGGAUUUGGAUUGGUUUAUGAACCAAAACCAUAUAUCAACUAUAUUAUAUCAAAAAUGGUUAUAAUUUGGUUUGGUUUUAUAUGGUUAUGAGAUUAAAAUGAUUAAGAAAAAUAUAUCGUGAUGUAAGUUUAUUAUUCCUUGCAUCAUAGGCGUUGCUGCGUCUUGAGAUCCUAGUUGCCACGGUUCCCUGCAUCACAAGGAGAAUUUGUAAAAAAAUGAAAAAUACAUGUGAACAACAUUUGAAACAUUUUCAUCUCAAUAAUUCUGCUUCUUGCUCUUAACAUGCAAAAAGACAAGGAAGGAAAACUAUGAUUGGUCCAACCAAGAGUGGCAUGGGACUUGUUAGGCAUUAGGGGCGACCCAUCGGCCCCUUUUGACAGGCUUCUUUGUCCAUCUAUUCUCUAUACUAAAUGGGACCAGAUCUAUUACUCAGACAAAAGCAACACAACCCUAAAUGUGAUCUCCAACGCUUGGCAAUGAUACCAUUAAUAGUAAGGAGUGAGUAUGUGGCAAAUACCCAAACUUGUGCUUGACUAAGCCUCACCCACAUGGAAGAUAACUUGUUCUCGCACUUGGGUUUCGACCAAGUCAUCUCUCACAGUAACAGUGAUGAGCUGUUGAGCGAAAGUUGUUCAUAGCUAAGAAUCGCUAAGGCUAGUCACUCCCGGGUCUAUCCUAUAUAUCUUUUGAUUCUAGCUGGGGUAUUCUCUCUAUUCAAGUUGUGCAAUUCCCACUAGACUCAAGGGAUGAGGCUAAGCGAGUUGUAAAACCUAUCACUAGCGAUAUACAUAAUGAGGCGUUUAAUCAAAGGCUUUUUCGCCAAAUAGCUUAUAUAAUACGAUAGGGCGGUAUUUUUGUUAUGGAAAGUAUCUCUAUUUCCUUGGAUAUCUUCAUCUAGUAUUUUUACCCUUACUGACAGUAUGAAAGAAGGUAGCUCACCACCAAGUCUAGGUACCCCAUCAUGUGUCAUAAUAGGGGAUUAAUGCUCAUUUACAUAAAAAUGAGUUAAACCUGCAGUGAAGUCUACUAUAAUUCCUAUUUUUAUCCCUUCAUACCAAAAUCGAAUUUCAAACAUAAAAAUAAUUCACUAAAAAAACUAGUUUUUCAAUUUCUCAGCUUCCGGCUUAUAAGUUGGAAGUUAAAUUGUAAGUUCUUUACACAAGCGGGACAAAUAAGCUGCUUCUGACUUAUAAGCCUAGAAGCAUGGCUUUUAAGCCCAACAAAAGACACCCAUUGACUUACGCUUAUUAAGGCAUUCAGCUUUACUUAUCUAAAUGACUUGAGAUGUUAUUAAAACAUCACUUUAUCAGGUCUUUGUCCUCGUUGAGCUCGCAAACCGGGCAGUGGACUGAUACCAUUUAUAACGAUCCAAGCCCACAACCCAUGCAUUAUCGAACCCAGCACAAAGUUGAGAAUUUCG
rnacentral:lncRNA from 1 species